AUUGAACGCUGGCGGCAGGCUUAACACAUGCAAGUCGAGCGGGGGAGGUUGCUUCGGUAACUGACCUAGCGGCGGACGGGUGAGUAAUGCUUAGGAAUCUGCCUAUUAGUGGGGGACAACAUUCCGAAAGGAAUGCUAAUACCGCAUACGCCCUACGGGGGAAAGCAGGGGAUCUUCGGACCUUGCGCUAAUAGAUGAGCCUAAGUCGGAUUAGCUUGUUGGUGAGGUAAUGGCUCACCAAGGCGUCGACGGGUAGCCGGCCUGAGAGGGUGACCGGCCACACUGGGACUGAGACACGGCCCAGACUCCUACGGGAGGCAGCAGUGGGGAAUAUUGGACAAUGGGCGGAAGCCUGAUCCAGCCAUGCCGCGUGUGUGAAGAAGGCCUUUUGGUUGUAAAGCACUUUAAGCGAGGAGGAGGCUCUUAAGGUUAAUACCCUUGAUGAGUGGACGUUACUCGCAGAAUAAGCACCGGCUAACUCUGUGCCAGCAGCCGCGGUAAGAC
rnacentral:rRNA from 1 species